AUGAUUUUUGAUGCUUGUUCAGGUUCCAGGUCCCAGACCAGUGUAACUCAGCCUCCUUCGCAGUCAGCGUCUCCUGGAGAAAAUGUUAAACUUCCCUGCACUUUAGGUUCUGGUAUUGAUUACUACUAUGUUUACUGGUACCAGCAGAAGCCUGGGAAGAAUCCACAGUACCUGUUGCGAUACUUUACUGACUCAGACAAACACCAUGGCUCUGGGGUCCCUAGUCGGUUCUCAGGCUCUAAGGAUGAAUCCAAGAGCAUUUCCUAUUUAUCUAUCUCAGGGGUUCAGGAAGAGGAUGAUGCUGAUUAUUACUGUAAUAUCUGGGAUGGCAGGAACAAUGUAAAUGCAUGA